rnacentral:lncRNA from 1 species
AGUGAGUGAGUGAGUGAGCGAGUGAGUGAGUGAGUGAGCGAGCGAGCGAACGCGUGCGUGCAUGAGGGAGUGAGGGAGGGAGGGAGUGGCUUCUGCAGCGUGAUGUGGGCAAUAGGGUUGUGUGAGGUAAGGCUUGUGGUAAGGUUUGCAGUGAGGUUAGUUUAACUGUGAGGUAAUCCUAGAAUAGUGAGACAUCUUUCGGUGAGGUAAAUUUUAGGAUAUGUGAUGAGUUUUGUGAUGUGAAGUACAUUACAGGCCAUAAAAGUAUGAGUUGAGUCCAUGAGUGUGAUGGUAGGAGGCAAGAGGCAGGUCUGUUCCUCUGACCUCUCUCUGCCAUGAGGCAAAUCCAACAUACGAGAUCAAAUCAGCUGAAAAAUGAGUUGGACACUGUGAGGUAAGGGUGCAGUAUGAGGAGCAGAAGGUACACCAAGAGGACACGUAAAUCCCACAAAAUAAAUUGAAGCAAAAUAAUAGUUUGAGAUGAGGGGAAAAUUUAAAGCUGAGACCUUGGUGAGGCCAGAGAGUUUGUUUAAAGAGGGGAGAGAUGUUCGACUAAGUGACAAGAACUUUGAGGAAAAAGAUAGUAACAUGAAGUAACCUAUUUCAUCAAGACUACACAUUUACUGAAAGCUGAAACCAUACGAGAGGGAGCAGUUUAGACCCUUGGCUGUCAAGACGCAGGACAAAAUCACUUGACUCUAAGAAGAUGCAUGAUCACAUCAAUUGCUACCCUUUUCUCUUCUCUGUGAUAACAAAUACUAAAUGCACGACUCUCUUAAUUAAAGGCCCUUUCACAGAGGACACACUUGCGAUA